UUAAAUUAGUUUUCAUACUUGUCUAUAACACAAUUUUUUAAUAUCUUUAUAUGAAAAAUAAUUUUUUUACAAGUUUUAAGUAAUUAUUCAUAAACUAAACCCUGUGACGAUAGCUUACUAGUACUUUAAAGGAAAGUUUUAUAAAACAAAAAUAGAAUUGGUAAAAACCUUUACCUUGUGUAUUAGGGAAAAUUAAUAUAACCUAAAUAACAUAGUACUCCCGAAAUAAAAACAGUUAAAUUUAUAUUACUAUUUUUAUAGAAAAAAAAUGCUAAAUAUGAAUUUAAAGGUAAAAUGCCAACCGAGUUUUAUUAUAUCUGGUUUUUUUAAAUUUAAUUAAAUUUUUAAUUUAGGUUAAUUAAUUUUUACCUAAAAUACAAUUAUAGGAGGGACUAGCUUCUUAUAUAAUAAUAAUCAAAAAGUAAUUUUAUUAAUAAUCAAACUAAUUAAGCUUAAAAAUAGCUAUACUAAUAAAAUGUUACAAUUAAUUUUAACUAUUUAAAUUAUUUACUUUUACUUUUUUUAACUAUAAAAAAAUUAUAUAAACCAAAAAAAAAUAUGCUAUAAUAAUUUUAUUAGUAAACAAUAAUGUCAAUUAUAAAAAAUAAAAUAAUAAAACAAAAAUAAUACAAUAAAUAAAAUAUAAAGGAACUCGGCAAAAACAUUUCUUGCCUGUUUAUCAAAAACAUGUCUAUUUGAAAAUAUAAAAAGUCUAGCCUGCCCGCUGAAUAUUCUUAUUUUAAUGGCCGCGGUAUCUUGACCGUGCAAAGGUAGCAUAAUCGUUUGGUUUUUAAUUGAAAUCUUGUAUGAAUGGUUUGACAAAGAAAAAACUGUCUCUGUAUUUUUUAUUGAAUUUAACUUUUAAGUGAAAAGGCUUAAAUAAAUUUAAAAGACGAUAAGACCCUAUAAAACUUUACAUAAGCCUUUAUUUAGUUAAAUUAUAAAUCAAUAAAAACUUAAUAAAAUCCUUAUGUUAUGUUGGGGCAACACAGAUAUAACCUCAUACUAAUUGUCUAAGUUUUUUUACAUUUAUUGAUGAUUACGUUAUUUUAAUUGAUCCUUUUUAAAGAUUAAAAGUUCAAGUUACUUUAGGGAUAACAGCGUUAUUUUUUUUGAGAGUUCCUAUCGAAAAAAAAGAUUGCGACCUCGAUGUUGAAUUAAAGUUUCUU
rnacentral:rRNA from 1 species